UGACUGAGUGGCGGACGGGUGAGUAACGCGUGGGUAACCCUGCCCUUAUACAGGGGGAUAACAGUUAGAAAUGACUGCUAAUACCGCAUAACCCGCUAGUACCGCAUGGUACAGACGGAAAAGAUUUAUCGGUAUAAGAUGGACCCGCGUCUGAUUAGCUAGUUGGUGAGGUAAUGGGCUCACCCAAGGCGACGAUCAGUAGCCGGCUUGAGAGAGUGAACGGCCACAUUGGGACUGAGACACGGCCCAAACUCCUACGGGAGGCAGCAGUGGGGAAUAUUGCACAAUGGGGGAAACCCUGAAUGCAGCAACGCCGCGUGAAGGAAGAAGUAUUUCGGUAUGUAAACUUCUAUCAGCAGGAAAGAAAAUGACGGUACCUGACUAAGAAGCCCCGGCUAACUACGUGCCAGCCGCGGC
rnacentral:rRNA from 1 species